rnacentral:rRNA from 1 species
AAGUUUGAUCAUGGGCUCAGAAUGAACGUUGGCGGCGUGGAUUAGGCAUGCAAGUCGUGCGAGAAAUCUUGGAUUGAGGCUUCGGUGGAUUUCCAGGAUGGACAGCGGCGAAAGGGAGAGUAACACGUGGAUACCUACCCCGGGGUUCGGGAUAGCUGUGGGAAACUGCAGGUAAUACCGAAUAAUGUCUCUGGACUAAAGGUGUGAUUCCGUCUUGGGAUGGGUCCGCGUCCUAUUAGCUUGUUGGUGGGGUAACGGCCUACCAAGGCGAAGAUGGGUAGCGGGUGUGAGAGCAUGGCCCGUCUCACUGGGACUGAGACACUGCCCAGACACCUACGGGUGGCUGCAGUCGAGAAUCUUCCGCAAUGGGCGCAAGCCUGACGGAGCGACGCCGCGUGCGGGAUGAAUGCCUUCGGGUUGUAAACCGCUUGUUUGUCGGG